AGGGGUGGUACAGGUGUACAAUCAACAACCAAGACACUAGAGACAUACAUAUCACUGUUGAAGGUAAGAGAUCUGAUAAUGAUCCAUUUUAUGAGUGUUGUCUGCACACUGAAAAACAAGCACUGCAUUCACCAUUUAAGUUGACUUUUUCAUGCUCAUAUAAGAUGUGCAUAACAAAAUAAGUCUGUAAGGGGAUAAAGACAUUACCAUAUACUACAAAAGCACUACCAACAACUGCUUCUAAUGGUCCGUUUAUGUCCAAUGAAUAUCAUGAAAUUAUACUCCACAGGCAGAAUAUUUCAAGGAAAUUAUUUAAAUGUCUCAAAAUUACACACAUCUGCGACUGGUUUCUAUCAAAUUGUCAUUACAUUUUCUGUCUGACAGGUUCGAAUUGAUGACAUUUGAACAAAAAACUACAUCAGCAUACAAGCUGACCACAGUAUUCUGUUUUGCACUGAGCAAAGCUCCCUGUUCUACUGUAGACUGACUAAACAUGUCCAUAUCCUGUAGGAACUGACACAGUGAGGAGAAGCUCCAUCUGCAUCCUCUCUGCAAAACAUUACAAUCCAAUACGUCUUAAUGGCUGUCCUACCAGUCAUACUGAUCAUCGCUGGAAUGGCUUUGUACAUAUACUAGAGAAACAAAAGUAUUUAUCCACAAUUGCAACCACUAAAAAAAGCAAUGUGGAAUGUGGGAAUGGUUCAUUUUGUGUAUUAAACUCUGUUUUUUUUAUCCCAGGAAAGAAAACCACAGGGAAUAAUAGUAGAGGGAGCAAAAGAGGAGGAGAGAAUAAUGAUGAGGUCAAUGAAUCAUUUAGAAGCUCUAUCACAGUGAGAGUGAUGGGGAAUGAAGAUAGAAAGAAUACAUCCCACUUAUCAUUGCGUUGUUAUAUGGUUAUGGGUUCAAAGUUACUGUAUGUGUGCCUUAUUUUCUGUCUCCUAGGAUGAUCCUACUGCAAUGUAUUCCAUGGUUGUGGACAGAAACACUGGUUUAAGCAUCAACACAACACCACUUAGUGCACUAGUAACAGAAUUGUGUUUGUUUGUUUGUUUUUAAGACUGUUCCUUGAUUAAAUCAUGUCAAAUUCAGUGGGAAAAUGAAGGUCUCAAAAAAGAUUACAUCUCAAUCCCUGUGCUAUUUGUGUGCUAAUGAAUGUUGCAACUUCAUUAUACAGUAUGUGUCUCAUUGUAUCUUCCCUCUCUAGGAUGAUCCCAAUGCAAUGCAUGCUACGGUUCAACACAGAAACGCCAACCAAGAAGAUACAACUACACCACUCAGUGCUCCAGAUGAUCCCUCAGUGAUAUACUGCACCAUCGUCCACAUGACAGGAAAAGGGAAAGCAGCUGUGAGUCUGGAGAGCAGUGGAGAAAUAGAGUACGCCAGUAUCAAGACAGGCAGAUCCUCCUAGAGCCACUAUACAAGGCUCACAGCCUUAUAAUACAGAGAGAUCUAACAGUAUUGUGCCCAGUAUCAUGAGGCUUUAUCUGGCGCACUUAACUAUAAAUAUAUUUCACUCUCCAAUAACACAUGUUUACUGGUUAACUGGGCACAGGAAAUCAAGGGCGGGUUUACCUAUGCUAACAUGUGGAAUUGUUUUAAGAUGGUGUAACUAUCGUUUAGCUACUUUUUUUUUGUGAAGCAGAGACAUGCAAAGUGCCUUGAAUGGCUUGUGAUUUACCUAGUUCCCUUUUUAUAUUGCUGUUUUAUAUUACUGUUUUGUAAUAGAGACGGAUGACUUCAGCCAUUUAAAGAAAAGGGAGAUGUGGUUUGAUGUGUAUAGAAACAUCUUUCGCAAUCACUAUUGCAAGAGGUUUCAUUGGUGGCUAUUCAAACUGAUGUAUCACCCAUUUUAACAUAUGAAUCUUAUAUUUCUGCCAAAUAGCUGGUACACCUUGAAGAAUUCAUAAUCUUUGAAGUUGACAACAAAAAUGUUAGGCUUAAAAAUACAAAGUUUGUUACAGCCAACUAUCUUUGUAAAAAACAGCCUAUUGUCAAAACCAGUCAGUUUGCUACUUCCUCUUUGGUCUAAUGGACAAAUCACAAAUUGUUGUAUUCCUGAACAAGAAAAGCACUCUAGCAAUGUCAUCAACUGAAGCAUAUGCUUUUAAAGUGCACAACUAACAGGGAAUGUCAUGUUAAAGUGUGUAUGUUUCUGUACAGACAGUAUCUGUAACGGCUUUCGUCUGGUGAAGGAGAAGCGGACCAAAAUGCAGAGUGGUAUUUUUGAGACAUGUUUAAUGACGAAUGAAAAAUGACCAAUACAAAAACAACAAACGGAAUGUGAAAACCUAUACAGCCUAUCUGGUGACAACAAACACAGAGACAGGAACAAUCACCCACGAAAUACUCAAAGAAUAUGGCUGCCUAAAUAAAGUUCCCAAUAAUCACCUGACUCUGAUUGAGAACCGCCUCAGGCAGCCAUAGACUAUGCUAUACACCCCCAAGACAAAACACACCACAAAAAACCCAUGUCACACCCUGGCCUGACCAAAUAAAUGCAGACAAACACAAUAUACUUCGACCAGGGCGUGACAGUAUCUCCAUUUGACAAAGUCACAUUUUCCAAUUACUCACUUCAGCACACUCCCACAGACACAAACAGAUGGCCAUCUACAGUAUAUUUUGCAAUAUACAAAUAUACAGAUAUUUCAGGUUUUUUAAAAAGCUAAAAACCUGUUUUUGCUUCUUCAUUAUGGGGUAUUGUGUGUAGACUGAUGAGAGGAAUAAUUAUUUAGUCAAUGUUAGAAUAAGGCUGUAACGCAACAAAAUGUGGAAAAAGUCAAGGGUCUCAAUACUUUCCAAAUGCACUUAUCAGAUCUGUUUUUGAUAUGUCCUCAUUCUCAGCACUAACAUGUCUGUGACUUUUCCUUUUAAAGAUGAUAAUAUUAACAUGCUGAUGUAGUAGACGCUUUUAUCCAAAGCGACUAACACGAAGUAAACAUAUUUAGAAGCCUAUAUGUAGCCCAUGGGCAAGUGGCUAACCUUGUGGAUGUUGCUAACCCAAUGCUGAUAAACUUCACAAAAUAAGUGUGAAUUAACUGUUUUUGCCUGUCUCUUAAA